rnacentral:rRNA from 1 species
AACGCAGGCGGUUUGGUAAGUCAGAGGUGAAAGUCCACAGCUUAACUGUGGCACUGCCUUUGAUACUGCCUUUCUUGAGUAGAGUAGGGGGAAGCGGAAUUCCGAGUGUAGAGGUGAAAUUCGUAGAUAUUCGGAGGAACACCGGUGGCGAAGGCGGCUUCCUGGACUCUAACUGACGCUCAUGUUCGAAAGCGUGGGGAGCAAACAGGAUUAGAUACCCUGGUAGCCCACGCCCUAAACGAUGGGCACUAGGUGUGGGAGGUAUCGACCCCUUCCGUGCCGCAGCUAACGCAUUAAGUGCCCCGCCUGGGGAGUACGGCCGCAAGGUUGAA